rnacentral:rRNA from 1 species
CGAGUUAACUGAACCUUCGGGGAACGUUAACGGCGUCGAGCGGCGGACGGGUGAGUAAUGCCUGGGAAAUUGCCCUGAUGUGGGGGAUAACCAUUGGAAACGAUGGCUAAUACCGCAUAAUAGCUUCGGCUCAAAGAGGGGGACCUUCGGGCCUCUCGCGUCAGGGUAUGCCCAGGUGGGAUUAGCUAGUUGGUGAGGUAAUGGCUCACCAAGGCGACGAUCCCUAGCUGGUCUGAGAGGAUGAUCAGCCACACUGGAACUGAGACACGGUCCAGACUCCUACGGGAGGCAGCAGUGGGGAAUAUUGCACAAUGGGCGCAAGCCUGAUGCAGCCAUGCCGCGUGUGUGAAGAAGGCCUUCGGGUUGUAAAGCACUUUCAGUCGUGAGGAAGGUGGUGUAGUUAAUAGCUGCAUUAUUUGACGUUAGCGACAGAAGAAGCACCGGCUAACUCCGUGCCAGCAGCCGCGGUAAUACGGAGGGUGCGAGCGUUAAUCGGAAUUACUGGGCGUAAAGCGCAUGCAGGUGGUUAGUUAAGUCAGAUGUGAAAGCCCGGGGCUCAACCUCGGAACUGCAUUUGAAACUGGCUGACUAGAGUACUGUAGAGGGGGGUAGAAUUUCAGGUGUAGCGGUGAAAUGCGUAGAGAUCUGAAGGAAUACCGGUGGCGAAGGCGGCCCCCUGGACAGAUACUGACACUCAGAUGCGAAAGCGUGGGGAGCAAACAGGAUUAGAUACCCUGGUAGUCCACGCCGUAAACGAUGUCUACUUGGAGGUUGUGGCCUUGAGCCGUGGCUUUCGGAGCUAACGCGUUAAGUAGACCGCCUGGGGAGUACGGUCGCAAGAUUAAAACUCAAAUGAAUUUGACGGGGCCCGCACAAGCGGUGGAGCAUGUGGUUUAUUCGAUGCACGCGAGACUUACUACUCUUGACAUCCAGAGACCUAGCAGAGAUGCUUGUGCUCGGACUCUGAACAGUGCUGCAUGCCUGUCGUCAGCCGGGUUGUGAUGUGGGUUAGUCGCACGAGGCCACCGUAUAUGAUGCAGACUUCGUUGACCAGUAACUGCCGGUCAACUGAGAU